ACGAGACAGUGUCACGGGACAGUAGCGCGCUCACAGACCAGUGUCUCAGCUCUACGGGCUAAUCCCUCACCUUGCAUUAACAGGUUACUGAGGUCCUUCAUUCUGUUGGCACUCCGUAGCACGCCGGGAUGAGGUCCAGUAUAGACCGCUAGAGGCACAGAACACUCAUUACAACAGAUAGGAGCUAUUACGUGACACACUCAUGACUGCACAACAGUGGAUGCUGAGCCUUGAGAGCCAAGUGAUGUGUUUGAGGGGCGAAGUUCCACCACAUCAAUACGACCACCCUUUACAAUCUGAAACGGCUUCUCAAAGGGCUUCCCCUGGUCUGUCCAAUCGCAGAGCAUUUUUGUGAGGAAGAAAGUAGCACGGCGUUUAAAAGCAACUCCACACAAAGUAUUCUGCAGGGGCACUGACAGCCACGGAAGAGCCUGAGACAGUUGAGAAAGUUCUUCAAGACUUUUGAGUUGCCUUUUGGAAUGGAGACAUCAUCCAAGCUUCUGGAGACGUGGGUCACAUUCUUCAAGAUUAAACUCGUCAGAAAGCCAAGAACAUUACUCAGACUUACUGCUGAGCUCACUUAUCCAGUCUCCCGAGAAUACUCAUGAUCCAAGAGGAUUGUAAAGAAAAGCAUCCAUGAAGCUGUUGGCCAUGUUGUCAAAUUUCACAAGAGCACAUCAAUCAGACCGAGGAGCGAACAGUCCUACCUUCUGGCAGCUGGUGCACUGGUUCUCCCAUGUUUGCAUUCUUCAAACUGCAGG